CAAUUCUACUGAAGGUCACAGAAAAGGGGGAUGACUUGUCAGAUGUUCCCUUUGCUCUGUUACUGAGAAUUUGAUGCCAUGCCUAUGACCACUUGGCUUUGAUGAUGGAAACUCUUGGGAAGAUGCCUCGGAAGAUUGCUAGCUUAGGAACUCGUUCCAAGGAUUACUUUGAUGACGGUAUGUUUUCUUCUCAAGUGAUUUUACUCUCAUGAUCAAGUGAUUUUACUCUCAUGACUUCCUUCUCUUUUCUUCUGUUUAAGUUGUUACCAUGGUUCAUACAAAUCUGAGGCAGUUUCCUUUCUCCUAUAUCUUCUCUUUUCUUGUAGCAGUUUUAUUGUCAUCAGGAGGUGUUUUAAUGAGAAGAAUUACUAGCAGUCUUUGCGCCAUUAAGUCAGUUUAUGUUUAUGUUUCUGUUUAAUGAGAAGAAUUAUUCGGAUGUCAGUUUCUGUUUACUAGCAGUUCUAACCUCCAGGAAGGCCUGGAUCGUCCUUCAUCUAAACUAGAAGGUGCCACGUUCCAUCAUAUUCGUUGUCAGGUCCUUCAAACGAUGUGGCGCUUGGUCAGUGCUGUCCUCACGGUGUUUAUCAUAUUUUAAGUUGCUACUAUAGUUUCUGUUUAAUUACAAUCAUUGUUUCUGUUUAAUUACAAUCAUAGUUUCUGUUUAAUAGUUUCUGUUUUUUGUUAUCCAUAUUUUAAGUUGCUACUGUUCAUAUGAUUGUAAUUCAAAUGAUUGUAAUUAGUUCAAUGAGAAAAAUUACUAGCAGGAGGAUCUGUUUAAUUCA